rnacentral:rRNA from 1 species
AUCCGCUAAGGAGUGUGUAACAACUCACCUGCCGAAUGAAUUAGCCCUGAAAAUGGAUGGCGCUGAAGCGGGUGGCCGACACCACGCCGUGUGAAUAAGUGAAAUUUAAUUGACAUGAGUAGGAGGGCGUGGCGGGCGUGGAGAAGCAUGGGCGCAAGCCCGUGUGGAACGGUCCGCUAGUGCAGAUCUUGGUGGUAGUAGCAAGUAUUCAAGCGAGAACCUUGAAGGGCGAAGCGGGGAAGGGUUCCACGCGAACAUUGAUUGGGCGUGGGUGAGUCGUUCCUAAGCCGAGUGGCAAUUGCUAAGUAUAUGCGCGAAAGGGAAGCGGGUUGACAUUCCCGCACACGGAUGUGGAGCGCGGCGACGCGUAAUGGGGCGAACACGCUGGCGAUGGCGCUGGGCAGAGUUGUCUUUUCUGUUUGACUGAGUGUGCGCGCUGUGUGGAAUCCGCUUGUCGGGAGAAACACGCCUGCACGGGCAGAGCGCCGGGGCUUUUCCGGCGUCCAGCUCGCCAUCGACGGCCCUUGAAACUUUGCCUGCUGGAUUAAAUCCACGCCGUGGCGUACCGAUCACCGCAUCAGGUCCCCGAGGUGAACAGCCUCUGCUCGAUAUGAACAAUGCAGGUAAGGGAAGUCGGCAAAUUGGACCCGUAACUUUGGGAAAAGGGUUGGCUCUAGUGCUGCGUGGGAGAAGUUGUCCGUGUGUGGCGGCGGAGUGUGGGCUGGCUCUGGCGCGGGUACCUCGGUUUUUUUUUAAAAAAAGCUGGGGAGCCUGUUCUGGGCUGCCUAUGCACUGCCUUCCACCUCAGACGACGCCCACGGCAUGCAGCAGACUAGAACUGCAACGGGCAAAGGGAAUCCGACUGUUUAAUUAAAACAA